rnacentral:misc_RNA from 1 species
GAUGAAGAACGUAGCGAAAUGCGAUAAGUAGUGUGAAUUGCAGAAUUCAGUGAAUCAUCGAAUCUUUGAACGCACAUUGCGCCCCUUGGUAUUCCAUGGGGCAUGCCUGUUCGAGCGUCAUUUGUACCCUCAAGCUCUGCUUGGUGUUGGGUGUUUGUCCACUCCCUGGUGUCUGGACUCGCCUUAAAGCAAUUGGCAGCCAGUGUUUUGGUAUUGAAGCGCAGCACAUUUUGCGUCUCCAGCCUAGAACGCUUGCGUCCAGUAAGCCUUUUUCCACUUUUGACCUCGGAUCAGGUAGGGAUACCCGCUGAACUUAAGCAUAUCAAUAAGCGGAGGA